AUGCUCAACCCCUUCCGCUUCAUCCGCCAGGCUAUCGCUCUCCACCGCAACAACCCUACGUUCGGGCUCACCUCCUCUGGCCGUGGCGCUGUGUGUCUCUCCUUUGCAAACGCUGAAGAGCGUUUCGCCGUCACGGGCCAUGGCCCUAUCCACCACGAGGGCAACACCCUCUUCUUCGAGCGUCCAGAGCACGCAGACAACAGAUCCCUGGCCAUCUUCAUUCACAUGGCCGAGAUCGAAGCCUUUGACUAUCCCGAUGAGCUCUGGCACCCUGAGGGGGCAGAUUACUUCUUCUCACACCUGGGAGACUUCGUGUCAGCAGAUCAGCACUGCUUCCAGGGUGACCACUCCAGUGUCCGUGCUCUUGUCAUGGUGGCCCGCGACUUCGUCCUUCCCCCUUGUCUCAUGGUGCGCCUUCCUGACAACGAUGUAGUUGUCGUCAAGCUUGAGAGUCGUGCUCUCUUCCGCCAUGGCUCGGGCGCCUCCCCUUUCUCCUCCGAUGACGAGGACAACUCUUCCCUUUCCUCCCAGAUAUCCAACCCACGCCUGUCCCCAGCCACCACGCACCAGAUCCGAUCCAUCGCUGCAGCCAUGUCUCCUUUCGCAUGCACACCCGAAUCUCCCUCGGGCCCUCCACCAACACCUGCAACUACGCUCCCUCUGGACGGCAUCCCUAUCCUUGCUGUCAUGGCCGAUGGCAUGCCUGUGGCCAUGCUGGUGCAUGCCCCAUGGUCUCCUCCCGCAUGCACUCCCACUCCCGCUCGCAAGCUUGUCCGAUCGACUGCUCCCCGUCCUAUGCUCGCAUUACCAGCUCCACCCUCUCCAGCUCCCUUACCACCACCACUGUCCCCUCCCCACUCUCCUCCGGUGCUCCAUGAGCCACCUCUGCCUGUCGUCGUAGCCGAUCCGGCUCCCGAUCUGCCUCCUGAACCCACGCAUGAGUGUCUGGCCAGGCGCAUCAGCAGGCGCGCCAAGAUGGCCGCUGACUCUGGUGUUAAGGCCAGACGCAACGCUCGAUUGGCCGAAAUCGAGCCCCCAAACUACUCCUCCAUGACUGCCAAGGCCAUGCGCUCCAAGGCGAAAAAACUCGACCUCUCAACUGCUUCCAAGGAUCUCUCGGACGCCCUUGUCCACGCUCGUCUCUGCGAUAUGGAUGGACUCAUCGACGACUCGGCCCGCGGUCCUGCCUCGCCAGAGGAUCUCGCGGCCAUUGCUACUGCAUGCGGUGCUCCGCCGGAGGUGGCGGUUGAUAUCGCUUCGGGCUCCGAUGUUUUGGGCUCGCCAUGA
rnacentral:rRNA from 1 species